AAUCAGGCUAUUAUUUUACUGUUGCAACACAGCACUAAAAGAUGUGUGUCUCUAUGACUUAUUUCUAUCUUGCAUAAGGGUGGGUUCAGUGCUUGGAAAGAAGUUGUGGGGUGGCCUCAACACUGCCUCUUAUGCGCUUGGGCUUGGCAUGUGGGCAAGAACAGGCGUGAAGCGCAGGCGUACGAGACGCAAACACGCCUACAAGACAAGAGCCUGAGAGCCUUCACAUGCAAGGUAUUGGCGGCAAGGAGUUACGGAGUCGCCAUCUAUCGGAAGCGCCUCGCUGGCGUAGUAUGAGGGAUCACGCGGCGUGUUCCUCAUAGGUUUUGCUGUCAAUGCUCACUGAAAACCCCACGCGUGAGCUCUCCCGGACAUUUCUACGCUGUCUUUACCGAAUACGUACAGUGGACGCCACUGCACGCGGUCCCCACGAUGGAGUCUCCCGAACUGGCUUCUUGCGUGAAAGGCCUGUAGGACCAUUGCGCCUGCUUCAGAUGAGGGGACCCUCGAGAAGGAAACUGAACACUUCUAUAAAUGGUGUGACCAGGAAUCCAAAGAUGAACCAGGCCUCCUCAAUUUCGAAAAAUACUUUGCAAACCAUUAUGCACCGCAGGCUGAAAGCUGGGCUACAUGUUUUAGAAAGAGCUUAGGUAUAAACACAAGCACGUGUUUCGAGGCGUUCCACAAAGUGCUCAAGUACUGCUACCUGCAUGGCGAAACGAACGAAAGAGUGGACACGUUAAUAUCAGUACUUCUAAAGCUGACAAGAGAUAGGAUAUUCGACCGCCUUGCAAAAUUUGAAUGUUGCAGCCUGAUCAGACAUACAGAAGGCAUAAGCAUCGAACCUGACCAAGUCAACGGUGUAGCUUUCCAUCAGUGGUCAGUCUGUUCACGAACAUACCCCAAGACCAAAUAUGCUGUGAUGCUAUAGAAAACACAUGCAGCAAUGCAUGCAGAUUUGCAUACCCCAAAUGCAGUCUGUAUGCACAAGGCCAUGUGUUCUCAUGUGGGCAACAAGUCAAGCAGAAACCUCCGUAAGCAUGUCCACACCGUGUUUCCUAGUGGAACUGCAAGAAGCAGCGACCUGGAGAUCAACAUAGGCGAUGUGGACAUACCAAAGCUGCCUACGGACUACGCUGGACUAUGGUGCUGCUUGGAUGUUCCCACCAGAGCUAUAGAGUGGAGCCUUCCAUUCCCACUGAAUUCUGGAGAGUGGGAACUAAAAGCAACCAAGCAUACGGAUCUUGCACCUGGUGGUUCGAAGCUACAAUGCAAGUCCCAGCACAUUGCCUCCAAGAUUUUUUAGUGUGUCACAGGCAGACUGCAGUCAUUACCUAUUCUUGGAGGGCAUGCUGAGGAGUUGUGCUAUCUGAAUGGCACAUAACUUCGGGUAACAUUCUUUCUUCGCAUUCAUUCUAAUUUAAUAAAGUUGCUUUGAGUAGUUCAGCUCCUGGCAUUCCUUGUCGCCCCACACAUGCUCAGAAUGAAGCGUCUGUCGUAUGAAAUCUUUAAAAGAAGGUUUUGUCAUUGAUCGUCUGAAGUGGCCUUGUCAAAGCAGAUGGUAAAUUUGUAGUUGGGGGAUUGUGGCACAUAUAAAUGUACAUGCGAUGGCAAUAAAGACUAGUUGUGCGUCAACAACCGU